rnacentral:misc_RNA from 1 species
AAGUCGUAACAAGGUUUCCGUAGGUGAACCUGCGGAAGGAUCAUUAUCGAACGUGUUCCCUCACACACACACCGUGCACCUUCGGGCGGCCCCCGCGGCCGUCCGCCUUUUUACCUUAACCACGCAUGUCUCGAAUGUAACAUCUUCGUUAACGCGAAACAACUUUCGACAACGGAUCUCUUGGCUCUC